rnacentral:lncRNA from 1 species
CUCAGUUUUCUCUCAGUCCCCCAAAACCUCUUUCCUUGCUUCUGUAACCCCAUUCUCCUGUUCUUUUCAUCCCCUCAUUUGGCCCCUGACCCCAGGUAGCCUUAGGGCUAGUUCAGGUGGCACAUGAUCUGGAUGUAGGUCCCACCCUGGACCAGCUCCUGGGAGCAGCUGAUGCUCUACAAGCCCAGGUGUCACAAAAUAAACUACAGCUACAGGAGGCCCAGGAGCAAGCAGAACAAGCAUCAGACACAGCUGCGAACUUGGGCAAGGUGAGGCAGGGGCCUUCUUCCUGAUUACUACCAAGGUUUGCCAGGAUCAUGUGUCCUGGGAUACAGGGGCAGUACCCAGAAGAUGAGGGUUGCAGGAUAUCCCAGGAUGAAGGGGAGGGUAUCCUCAGGGUGAAAGGCCUUAGUCCUUUGAAUCCUUGGAGAGGUAGAGGGAGGCCUAGGAUAAAAAGUUCUCUAGUGGGAUGUGGCCUGGAGAACAGAGGCCUCAAGAUAUCCUAGUAUGGGAAUUGAUUCCCAGGUGGGUGGUUUCUGAAUGGUGUGGCAGGAACACAGAGAGUGAGGAGAGGGUUAGAAUUCCAAAAUGACUGGCCCUUUCUGGCCUUACCUCCCUCUUCCCACCUGGUUCUCCUUUGCCCCAAGGACCUGCAGACAGCCAAGCUACAGUUCUCAGAGCUACAGUCUGGGAUCAAUGGCCUUGGGGAUGAAGUGAAUGGGGCCAGACAUCGUUUGCAGCGAAUUCAGGCAGAAGCCAGAGAGCUGCUGAAGAAAGCAAGUAGGAGCCGAAACCGUCUAGAAGGCCUGGAGAAACGUUUUGCUCUGAAUGAGCAGGCACUUGGAGAGAAGGCAGCUGAGCUUCAGACCCUGGAGAGUAGAGCCCUGGGACUACUGGAGCAGCUGAGACAGGAGGCCAGUGCCCACGCCACCUGCUGAUGCGCCCACGCCCAGUAAAACAAAGAUACUCCCAAGAUAGAGCCUCUCCAGGACCUCCCUACGCCCCCAUCUGCCCCUGCAGAGGGACCCCUCCUCUCUCUGCACUGUGUAGGGGGACCCUGGACUCUCCCUCAUGAUACACCAAAAAAGAGGGCUAUUUUAUUUUUCAAUGCACAGAAAAUAAAUUU